rnacentral:tRNA from 1 species
CUAUUCUUGGUUUAAGUGUAGAAUGGCGGUUUGUCGUACCGUUGGUAGCUUCGGCUAGAAUAGU